AUCAUCUUCUGCCCGAGCGCCCCACAGCCCAGCGUUUUGCUUUGUCUUCCUCCUCCCGUACACGUUCCAGAACUGGCACACCACGAACAGCCACUGCCGCCGGUUGAGCUCCCUUCAUCUAUCUCGAUCCAGACUGUUCGACCGCGACCAGGGAAUUAUACUCCAAUCCCCUGUAUCUCACGAACCGAUUCAAUCUCACGAACCGAUUCAGUCAAUAAACCUUCCGUUUCCCCUCUUGGUCUCCCAAUUACAACCACACGACCCGAAUGCCGUCCGUCGGCGUGCACCCCUCGAUCUCCCUCGCCAGCCUAUAAAAACCGUUUCCGAGCUUCACCUUGAAAGUUUCGUCUCUUAUCCUUUGUAGAGCCCGGUGCCAUGACCGUCUUCUCCCUUUUGGUCGCCGCCUCCAUUGUUGAAGGUGAGCUCGCUCCGAAGCUCUGUAUCUUAAUUUCUUACACCGUGAUAUUCCUCUGACCCCCUUCUACCUCUUUGAAAAGGAUUUGCAAUCUAUCUACACCAUUGGACGCGUCGCACCGAGGAGAUGCCAACGUCGCACCGGAGCUGCGCUCAUCGCCGUCCAGAUGCGUCUUCGAGCACCGCAACUGCGUCACGGAGUCCGCCCCGACCACAGGAGGUAGAAGAUUCCCUCGGUUUGUGCCAGGAAGCCCCGCCACCAUCGACCCACUGCCGGCGCGGCCCGAAAUGUUGUUGCCGUCGUUUGAGGCCGCCUCGCGGACCUCUGAGGACCCCCCAUCGACUUCGUAUGAAGUAUGAACUGCGUAUUUGACGCCCUCAUCUUCCCCGACCUCUGGCUGAUCAUCCCAUCCAUCUCCGAGAUAUGUGCGAGGGUAAAUUCCAAAUCGAACCUAAAACAGGUAGACAAGUUGAGAACCUUUGGAAAUGAAGGAAAUGCUAUAACACAAGGGAAAGCACAGAAGAAUCAUACGGAGUGUGAUUAGUACAAGUUGUGAAGAAGAGUACCAAGACACUAAGCAGGUGGUGUGAAUAGCAAGUCCUUCUUGUAUGACCUAUGCCGCCUUACCGAACAUUCAAGGACAGAAGAAAUUAUAGAUCCCCAAGAUCUUAUAUCAAAGACCUUGGAGGAAAAUUCAACAAGUUUGGCCAACAUUAGGACCCACAUGAAUUUGUAUCAUAAGACAAUACAUGUCUUUUUUCGGUUCCCUUAGGUCUAUUGGUCUUAUUAUGUAUUUUUGCGAUGAUGCGAUGGUGUCUUUUUGUGUGGUGCAACAAGUGAACUCAUGGAGACAUGUUCAAAGAAGCAUGGAUGAAAUAUGCCUUUCCGAUGGUUUAUGAGCAUGAAUGUAGAAACUUUUCAAAGAGAAAUGGGAAGAAACACCAUUUGAAUGUCGGGUGUCGCCUCUUCCUGUAAUAAUUGAAGGUAAAGGUAAAAUUUGUGCAUCAUUGGAAGAAGGCUUGGAGCUAUCUUCUGAAAAAGAAAAAUUUCCUACUUUGAAAUGUGCAAAGUAAGUUUGGUGCACUUCUUGUUUAUACGCUUUUAGAUUCUUUUUUUCUUUGACAUGAUUACUAAUUGCAAACCGAGGAACAAGCAACAUUGAACACAUCUUAAACAUAUCUUAGUCUUCUAGGUUUCACAUGUGACAAAUAGGUGAAUAUUUUGCUAUUGUAUGUUUCACAUGUGACAAAUAGGUCACUUCAUACUUCGGAAUUAAUGAUAUCUUGCCAGAAGCCUUCAAUGGCAGUGAGGGUGGAGGUGGUAUCAAGGGGCUUCAGAGCUGCAAGAGCUCAUGCCCAGGUGCUGGCCCUUGGUUUCUUAUGCGUUCAGAAGGGGCUUGAAAGCUCCAAGAGCUCAUGCCUAGGGUGUUGGCCCUUGGUUCUUAGGCCUCUUCUUAUACUUUGUGGCACGUUUCUAUACUAGUUCCUGGGGUGUGGUGUGUGUGUUUGUUCCUUGUACUCUGCUGUCUACUUUGCACCACCAUAUAGUCUAAUCAUAUUAAGUGUUGACUAUCAUCAGCAUUAUUUAUUCGUGGCUUUAGGAGACAACACCUGAAUCAAAGCCAAGUAAAAUUAAGGCCACGGCGACAAACAGAUUAUCCCAGGUUCAGAGUGCAAGCUACAGGAUCUAAUGGAAGACCGAUCAAACGUUGGCUCAAAUGUGGUAAAUGUAACACCUAGUUGGGUACCUCAACUUGGCAUGAAAUUUAGCAGUGUUGAUGCGGCUUGGAAAUUUUGGGCAUACUGGAGGAAGGAUGGAGUUCAAUGUCGGGAAGAGAUACACAAACAAAAGCAAGUUUGAUGGCAAGAUCACUGUAUGUAGGUAUGUGUGUUCAAAAGAGGGUCACAGGGUAGCAGACAAAAGAGAUCAUUUACAUAAGAACCUCGAGCUGAAACUACGGUUGUGAAGUGCAUAUGAGCCUUACAAUAGACCGAGAAGUAGGAAAUUACUAAAUAUGUGGCCUUGGUCUUGAACACAAUCAUAUGCUUCAAUUGCCAGAAGCACGUCAUCUUAUUCCGUGACAGCGAAAGAUCUCUGAAGUACAAGCCUUUGAAAUUGAAAUUGCUGAUGACUCAGGUAUUGGACCAAAGGCUGCUCAUCAGUUGGCUAGCCAAAGGAUUGGUGGAUCAUGUAAUCUUAGAAAUACACACCGGAUCACAGGAACUAUUUUGCGAACUAAGCGUCAAAGGGACCUAGAGUAUGGUGAAGCGGGUAGCAUGCUGAAAUAUUUUCAAGAUAGAACUGCAGAGAAUUUGUUGUUCUAGUAUGCUUUUCAGUUGGAUUGUGAAGAAAAUAUCACAAACAUAGGGCUGAUAACAAAAUGAUCAUCGAUUAUGCUCAUUCGGUGAUGUUGUGAGCUUUGACACUAAUCUAGGCCCUUUGAGUGUUUGUUGGGUUCAAUCAUUUCAGAGAAACAAUUAUAUUUGGUGCUUCUCUGCUCUAUGAUGAGACAUUCGGUUCUUUUAAAUGGCUUUUUGAUACAUUCAUGUCAGUACAUAACCAGAAGCAACCUCGAACGAUAUAUAGUGAUCAAGACGCUGCAAUGGGAAAGCCGAUAGAGCAUGUGUUUCCAGAAGUCCAACAUGGCCUAUGUACUUUCCACAUUAUGCAAAAUACAGUCAAUCAUUUAUGUAGUCACAAGGAUGAUGCUGAUGAUGACGAAGAAUCAUCUCUUCUUGCAGAUUUUAGUGCAUGCAUGUAUAAGUAUGAUGAUAAGGCAACAUUUGAAGAAUCUUUCGAAAUUAUGAGAGGUAAGGUGCAAAAGCAAACUUGGCUUGAUAAUCCCUCCGAUCCAUAUUAGUUGUCAAAAUAUUACAUGUAUCUAGACGCUUUUUAGGCAUAAAUACAUCCAUAUUUGAGCAAAUUUGAGACAAUUAAUAUGGAUCAGAGGAAGUAGUGUUUAUAAGGUAAAGGAGAAGUGGGCAGAGUGUUACAUGAGAAAUGUUUUCACCUUGGGAAUGCGGAGCACACAACUACCUAGAAUCAAAAUGAAGACGCCCAUGUUAAUGCAAGCAAGCUUAGCACUCUUGUUAUAUCUGAGUGUUUUCAGACUGAAUACGAGAGACCUACAGCAGCUUGCCCUGAAGUGCUAGAUGGACACCACGAAUAUAUGGUUAAAAUUGGAAGUCUUUGUGAAUAUCCAAAAUUUGAAGAAGAAUGCAAAGUUAUUGCCAAUCCAUGGGAAUAAACAGAUAUAUGUAGUUGUCGACAGUUUGAUCUAGUAGGAAUACUGCGCAGCCAUGCUUUAAAAGUCCUUGAUAUGAUGAAUAUCAAGCUGCUGCCUGUCCUGCACAUUAUAUACUGAAGCGAUGGACUCGAGAAGCACGGUCAGAAUCUGUUGAAGAUAGUCAUGGAAGAACAAGUGUCGAAAAUCCCUAGUUGGAGGCCCUUCAACACUACAAUCUUCUCUCACACAAAUUUGUUAAGUUGGCCACCCAAGCAUCCAGCUCUGAAGAAUGUUGCAUUUUAAUUGAGAAUGCACUUGACAGCGCUAGUAAGCAAGUUGAAGAGCGGUUGAAUGGGGGCACAUAUAAUUCUGAUGAGAGGCAUGAUGCUAAUGGGACUCCUCAAGCAUCAAAUGAUUUGUUGAGCUCUGCACGCCUGAAGAAAAAGCCAACUGAAAAUAGAAGAUCAAGGAGAAAGAAAACUUGGCUUGAUAAGCUACACAAAAGAAGAAAGAGAGGACCAGCUAAAGAUGGAGCACCAGAACAAUCAUCUAAGAAAGGGUAGAAGACCAACACAUCACAAGGUCAGGUAAUGGCUGCGGAAGUUUCUAUGGGAAAUGAAAAUGCUUUCCAAGAAAAUGAAGUGAUAAGAAGUUAUAUGGACCUACUGACGAAUUCUACUGUUGAAGACAUGUGGUUUGAAGGUAUAUUUUGAUCACCAUGUAUUCAGAAAAAUAUUGAUGCUUGGAGGCUGGAGAACUAGUAGUAUUGAUGUCUGGAGCACCGGUAGUACUUCCUCCGAUCCAUAUUAGUUGUCGAAAUAUUACAUGUAUUUAGACGCUUUUUAGGUAUAAAUACAUCCAUAUUUGUACAAAUUUAAGACAAUUAAUAUGGAUCGGAGAGAGUAGUUUCUUUCUCAAGUUACUUGAUUCAGGAAAUGCCUGGAGGUUGUACUGAGCUAUUUCUGAAAGCUUGGAGAUUUCAUCAGACUUUUUAGUGUUAAGUUUUUCUAUUACAUUCAGUCCAGUGAUCCACUAGUUGUUUAACAUGAUAUA